UACGAAGGGGGCUAGCGUUGCUCGGAAUCACUGGGCGUAAAGCGCACGUAGGCGGAUUGUUAAGUCAGGGGUGAAAUCCUGGAGCUCAACUCCAGAACUGCCUUUGAUACUGAGAAGCUUGAGUCCGGGAGAGGUGAGUGGAACUGCGAGUGUAGAGGUGAAAUUCGUAGAUAUUCGCAAGAACACCAGUGGCGAAGGCGGCUCACUGGCCCGGUACUGACGCUGAGGUGCGAAAGCGUGGGGAGCAAACAGGG
rnacentral:rRNA from 1 species